rnacentral:rRNA from 1 species
GUUUUAACCCGGCCGAGCCGAGAGGGAUAAGCUCAAUUUUAAAUCUGUUGGGUUCCACCUAACAGAGUUGUAUUUUGAAGAAACGUUUUCUGCGUCCCGGGUUAGCCUAAGUCCUUUGGGAUAAGGUAUCAUGGAGGGUGAGAAUCCCGUUCAUGGUUAAUCUUGAGGAUGCUCUACGAUACGUUUUCCAAGAGUCGAGUUGUUUGGGAUUGCAGCUCAAAAUGGGAGGUAAAUUUCUCCUAAGGCUAAAUAUUGGCGAGAGACCGAUAGCGAACAAGUACCGUGAGGGAAAGAUGAAAAGAACUUUGAAAAGAGAGUUAAACAGUACGUGAAAUUGUUGAAAGGGAAACGAUUGAAGUCAGUCAUACCAACGGGAAAUCAACCUUUUGAGCUUUGUCUCCUGGGUUCGAAGAGUUUUAACGCCUUCCGGUUCGAGAGAUUGGGAUCUUCUGGUGUACUUUCUCGUACGGGUAGUCAACAUCGGUUUUGAAUGUCAUUAAAUGACUGGAGGAAUGGAGCUUCGAUCUCGUAUCGAAGAGAUGGAGCCUUCGGUCGAUGUGACGUUUUUACACCGAAGAUUUUGGACAGAUAC